UACGUAGGAUGCAAGCGUUGCCCGGAUUUAUUGGGUUUAAAGGGUGCGUAGGCGGCCUAUUAAGUUAGGGUUCAAAACGUUCGGCUUAACCGGAUACCCGCCAUUGAUACUGAUAGACUUGAGUGCGACAGAGGGUGUUGGAAUGUGUGGUGUAGCGGUGAAAUGCUUAGAUAUCACGCAGAACACCAAUUGCGAAGGCAGAUGCCUAUGUCGUAACUGACGCUGAGGCACGAAAGCGUGGGGAGCAAACAGG
rnacentral:rRNA from 1 species